rnacentral:piRNA from 1 species
UAAGAUGCUUCUAGGCAGCGUGGUUCCUGU